rnacentral:rRNA from 1 species
AACGAACGCUGGCGGCAUGCCUAACACAUGCAAGUCGAACGAGACCUUCGGGUCUAGUGGUGCACGGGUGCGUAACGCGUGGGAACCCGCCCUUAGGUUCGGAAUAACUCCCCGAAAGGGGUGCUAAUACCGGAUAAUGUCUUCGGACCAAAGAUUUAUCGCCUUUGGAUGGGCCCGCGUUGGAUUAGCUAGUUGGUAGGGUAAAAGCCUACCAAGGCGACGAUCCAUAGCUGGUCUGAGAGGAUGAUCAGCCACACUGGGACUGAGACACGGCCCAGACUCCUACGGGAGGCAGCAGUGGGGAAUAUUGGACAAUGGGCGAAAGCCUGAUCCAGCAAUGCCGCGUGAGUGAUGAAGGCCUUAGGGUUGUAAAGCUCUUUUACCCGGGAUGAUAAUGACAGUACCGGGAGAAUAAGCUCCGGCUAACUCCGUG